AGCUGGUCUGAAAAUAGUGAGUUACCACAAGUGAUUGUUCACAGUUACAGACUGAACUGUUCUACUCUUUCCCUUUUUUUCACUAUUGCACUUGACUAGUUGCUUUU
rnacentral:Y_RNA from 1 species